AAAUAAAAAUAAUAAAAUAUAAUUAAUUUUAAAAUUAUUCUAUUUAUUACUAAAUUAAAUUAUAAUUGCAUUAUAUUUUAGCUGUAAUAACCUAAAUUUGCCCGGGUCUUAAACAAUAAAAAAAUAAACGAAUGUUUACUGUUUUAAAUAGUCCAUAUACAGAGCCCAAAAAAUUUUAGUCUACUCGAGGCCCAAUUACAAUGUAAUACCCAGCAGACCCGUUACAUCCAAUAACCCGCUUAACCCAAUAGCCCAUUUACAAUCAAAUACCCAAUACCCCUAAACUAGUCCAGUAAACCAAGACUUAGUAGGCCCAAUUGGCCCAACUUAUUUUCAGUUUCGGGAAACCCUAGCUAGGGUUUGCAUCGCAACUCCCAAGCCAUACCAAGCGACAGAAGAACUUGCACCGCAAUCAGACCAAGAGUUACGCCCCUUCGACUCGUGUCCGUUCGUCUCGCAGCGACCCGAAUCAGUGCCGUGAUUCCCGGGCUUUAAACCAUGCCAUGGUCUACAACUGAAUCAACGCCGGUGGUCUACUUUCCUCGAUUACCUACAAAAGAAAGAAAGAAACAACAACAAACAAACAAAACAAGUAUGGAAAGAAAUAAAAGAUUUCUUCCCAAAAUGUAAUAGAAACAGUGGCUAUAAAAGCCUCCUUUGUAACCUGUAAGCGGAGGGAGAUUUUUAACGAGGAAUACAAAAGCCAAAUACAUACAGUUUCUUAAAGGUGAUAUACCUUUACCUUUUCAUUUUUUCUUCUCUAAAUACAUGCAAAUACCAUUAAAAUAAAUAAAAAGCGAAUUUACCUUUGAAAUCGCUUCGAAAAAUCGAGACUUUGGGCUUCUGACCGCCGUACAGGGAGGGGUCGGCGAUGGCGCGUGGGCACGUGAGUCCGAUGACCGGGGCUCGGCUCGAUGGAGGCCGGAGCUCGGAGGACUGCUCUCAACUCUCUUUCAGAGAGCUUUUCAAAGUUUUUUUUAAAAACUAAUAACUAAAUGAAUUUUAGGCUUAAGUUCUGAUAUAUAUAGUAGUACAAAAUGGUGUAGUUUUGGCUUAGUUCAAUAAGCACUAAAACGGCACCGUUUCAACAGGGGAUCUGCGUGUUGACCCGAUUACCCGGGGAGGAUCCGCGUGUUUUUGUAAAAUGAGUUAAUUGCCCAAUUGGUCCUCUCGCAAUUUUAAUAUUUAUAAUUUCAUUUUAUUUAUUUUUUAAUUUAGCUCUAAUGUUUUCAUUUUGUUUCAAUUUGGUCCUCACAGUACUUUAAAAUUUAAUUUGGGGAAACGGUGUCGUUUUGGGAUUAGGGCAAUUUGCCCAAUGAGUCCCUCGGUUUUAACACGCAUUCUAGAAGGCCCAAAUUUUUUUAUUAUUAUUUAAACUAGCCCUAAAACUUUAAUUUUAUUUCAUGAUAGUCCUUUUAAAAUAUUUUUUUAUAAUCUAUUAAAUACUUUGUCUAUAAAUAUUAAUUAAAAAAUAGUAUAUAUUAUUUAUUAUAUUAUUUUUACUUAUAAAUUAUAUUUAUUUAUAUAUUUUAUAUAUAUAUUAUUUUUUUAAAAAAAAUUUAUGUAUUAUUAUUAAUUGUGUAAAUUUUAAUUUUUACUAAAUAAUAGUAUAUAUAUUAUCCUUCAUUAUAUUUACAUUUUAUUACAUAUUACAUUUUAUUAUAUAUAUAUUUUUAUAUUACUUAUUAUAUGGUUUAUAUUAUUAUAUAUUUUGGUUAUAAAUUAUAUUAUACACUAAAUAUUUACUAUAUAUAUAUUAUCAUUUACAUUACUUUUAUUUCAUUAUAAAAUAUAUACUAUUUUAUCACUCAUUAGUUAUAUAUAUUUUUUAUUACUAAAUAAAUAUGUGUAAUAUUAAUAUUUAGUACAUCAUUAAGGUAUUAUACCCUAUAAUAUGAUUUAUAUAUAUUAAUCAUUUUUUUGGGGUUUUCUUUUAUUAUUUUCAUAUUAAUCUAAAAUUUAUGAAUAUCUUUAUUUGAUUUAUAUUUCAUAAGUUUAUACUUUGCUUAUUCUUUUUCAUAUUUCAUUAUUGUUUAGUAAAUUAUUUGUUAUGGUUUUUACAUAUUUGCAUGGAAGUUAAUUAUUUAUAUUAAUUUAAGGUACAUUUGCAUGAAAUGUUGUUAUAUAUAGGUGUUAUGUAAUUUAUAUUAUUAAAUUCAUUAUACUCUAUGUUGUAUUUUUGCAUGUAACAAUAAUGCAUGAACAUUUUUUAUGAUGACAUAUGCAUAAAGUGAUAAUGUAUAUUGUGUAAUUUAUGCCAUUAUUACUAUUUUCUACACUAUAUUUGCAUGAAAUGAUAAAAACAUGUAUAUUGUAAUUAGAUUUAUUUAAUUCCUUGUGAUAUACAAAACACAUCAUUAUUUUUAAAACCAAAAGAUAUAUUUCACUUAAUUCAAAAAAGAAAAAAAUAAAAGGCAAUGCAUGAUGUUUGGAAACUUCGAGAAAGGUAGUGCCCUAACUUACUGGGUUGCGACUUUUCUCGUUGAAUUCGAAUAGUCAAGCACCCUUCUAAGUGAUUUUGAGUUUUCAAAACUUAAACAAUUACUUCAAGAUUUCAAAACAUAGUGUCCUAACUUACUGGAUAUGGCAUUUUGUUGUUUCGAGAUAGAAAUUUUCGAAAGACGAGCUUAGUUUCGAAGGUUUUAAAAUGUUGCAUCCUAACUUACUGGAUGGGAUGUUUUGACUCGUUUGAAAUAAGUGAGCCUUAAUUUUCAAAAUUGAAAUAUUUUAAUUAAAAGAGGUUUACAUUUUAAAACUUUCAAAUUUCCGACAUUAAAGACACUUGAUAAUCAAUUAGGUACCAGUUUUUGGGCGUUACGAGGGUGCUAACCCUUCCUCGUACGUAACCAACUGCCGAAUCUGUUUUCUUGACUUUCGUAGACCAAAAUUAAUGUUUUAAAGCAAAACAUUUUAUAAGGUGAUCCAAUCACACCUAAAAAGAUUGGUGGCGACUCCUGUUUUCGUUUUUCUUAAAGUCGAUUCCCAUUUUCCUAAACACAAUUUUAAAAAUGGUUUCGACAGCUUGGCGACUCCACUGGGGAAUAAUAAGAGAGUCAAGCCGUGUAAUUGAUUAUCUCUUGUCUUAAUGUCAGAAAUUAAAAAUUUUAAAAUUUAAUCCUCUUUGCAUUACAUGUGUUUGUAUUAUUGCAUGUGUUGCUCUAUUUUGAUACGCAUUACAUUUACAUGACCGUUGUGGUCACACUUUUAAGUGGGAGUGAGAAACUACGCCUUCGUUAGGUUUUUGCCUCCGUGCAAGAUAGUGGAUCACUUCCGGGAUACAUCCGUACCUAUGGUUUCAUGAGAUUUUCAUCUCCGUGUAGCCAUAGGGAAAUGUAUUCCCCUAAACUGAACUUGAUUCAAAUAAGCCUAUAAUGGGUGAGGAUCGAGGAAUCUGCUGGUUCGGGUACCUUAAACUUUAGAACUAAAACCUCAUAUAGAAAAAUUGUAAGAGCUCAACUUAGUUAGAAUUAUACUUUAGAUAUUACCCUCAUAUAUCAUUCUUGAGUUUAUUAAUAUUAUGUGAUACUGACUGUUUUCUUUUUCCAUUGCAUGUCAUUUCGUAUUUAAAAGGUAUCGAUUCACGGUCAGUUUCUAAGUUAGAAAGUUUUAUUAUGAAGAACGAACUUCUUGAUAGAGUGGAGGGCAACGCUAACGUCCAUAGAUGGUCUGAGCAAACUCAGCUAGGAAAAGGGGAUAGCAUAACUGUGGGAUAUAUGUCGGAGCUGUCACACUACACUCAUAUUAGUGUCACAUAGAAUAAUCUACAGGAGCUUAAGGCGAUUUGAGAUCAGUGGGGCAAUGAGACCAAGCAAUCAUUCUACGGUAAUUACGAAGAUUUGCCCUAUUUGUUUGAUAUUCAGGUUGAUGAGCACUUGUUUCGAGCUCUCGCUCAGUUUUGGAACCCAGCAUACAAUUGUUUUACCUUUGGGGAGGUAGAUUUAAUGCCUACUGGGGAGGAGUACAUACUUUACUUCAGUGUCCUAGAUUUCAGUGUGAUAGGAUUUAUUCUCGAGCUGCUUGUGUCCCAACCUUUGGUAAGAAGCUGAUGACCAUUAUGGGGAUGAGCGAGCAGUGGAUCAUGGCUAGAAUUAAAGAAAAGGGUGAGAGUAAGUGUAUUCCGUGGGGAGCUUUGAAAGAUCUGAUCUAGACACAUCCAGACGAGGCGAAGAGGGUAGACAUUUUUGCCUUAAGCUUAUACGGAUUGAUGGUUUUCCCCAGGGCCUUGGGAUAUGUGGACGAGGCAACCACGGAUCUCUUCUAUCGACUUAGCAAACGGGUCACUCAUGUUCCUGCGAUUUUGGCGGAGACAUUCAGGUCCUUAAAUGCAUGUAGGAGGGCCAGUGCGGGCAGGUUUGUUGGUUGUGCUCAGUUACUUUUAACUUGGUUCUAUAGUCACUUUCGAUUGAUAAAUAGGGUGGUUUGUCGGGUCUUCUUCGAGGAUUACUCCCCGUUGAAGGACAUAGCAGCUUCAACUAGGAAAGUUGAUGUUCCUGAAAAAAAUUGGAUAGCGCUACUUCAGAAUCUGCAGUUAAAAGACGUAGAGUGAAGGGCUCCAUGGAUGAUUCCUGGUGAAAUUCUUUGCCGAUGCGGCAGUUUUGAUUGAGUCCAUCUGUUGGGAAUUUGGGGUGCCAUUGGUUAUGCCCCUUUGCUUGUGCUGAGGCAACAUGGAUUUAGACAGUUCAUACCGGCAACUUACAGUUUGGUUCAGAGAGUUCAUGUAUAGAGGAGCUGACUACAAGAGGAAGGUCAGUGAGAUCUCUAGUGCUUGGAACAUGACUUGUCGAUUAAAUGGAGUAGUUAUUAGCCCUGCUACGACUUCGGAGUACGUCGAGUGCAGAGGUAGAAGGAUUAAUAAUAACAUCCUUAAGCCAAAUGUGGAAGAAGCUGGACUGAUAGAGGAAUAUUUGCAAGUGACGCCCUCGGAGUUAGAAAUUAUGAAGUAAGAGUUCAAGAGAAAGAACUUGGAGUUCGAGAAAAGGAUAGCAAAGCUCGAAGAAAAAAGAUAUAUUUGAUCCUAGACGUCGACGUUCAAAAGAUGGAGGUCGAGAAAGAGAGGAAAGAAAAAAGGAAGAUCGAGGAGGACCGAGAUUAUUUAAAGGAGCACUAUAAAAGGGCACAAAUAACUUUGAAAAGAACAGGAUUAGGAAGGUUUUCAGAUCAGGGGCAGAAAGAGGUCCAAGAGGAAAAAGCUAAAGCCGAAUAUUGGGAGAAGAAGUUCCAAGAGAUGCAAUCACGGAAUUUGACCUUAGAAAAAGAAAAUCAAGGUUUAAAGACUAAAGUAACUGAGCUCGGGCGUUCCCUUCAUCUGCAUCGAAGUCGUGAUUCUACGGUUGAGGUAAAAAAAUUAAAAGGCAAAGUUGAGGAGUUGGAAUCAGCAUUGUAGGAUAGUAAGCUCCUAAUCGAGCAGCUUGGGUACGAGAAGAUCAUUUGAAGGGAGAGCUUCAUCAGUCUAGAGGACAGGUCAGAGAAAGGGAUCACGUCAUUGGAGAAGCCGUAGCCCAGAUUCGAGAGGUCGCUGAACAGGUGCAAGACUUGGCAAUACGAGUUGAUGUAUUGAGUUUGAUGUAUGAGUCAUCGUCGGAUAUAGGACGAGAGUUAGCCCUUUUAUUAGAUAGAGUUAAAAUUUUGGGCAUUAGGGCGAAAGCGUAUUUGUAAUCCUCUUAUAUGUAAAGAUAUUCUUUUUCUAAAUAAAGUUUUCUAAAUGAGAUUGAAUCAGAAUCGAUGUCCUUUUGGCAUUCAUGCAUUUACAUCACAUAGCAUUUCAUCGCAUCAUUUGCAUUCAAAGUUAUAGAAAAACCCUAAUUAGUUAAAAUUACCAUAGAAGUAGAAAAGAAAAUCUGGAAACCACGCAUCAGUACGGAACUCGUGCAAAAUCUAAGAAUAUGGAUCAAAGGUUUGAACAGCUACAAAAGGACAUGCAGGACCAAUUGCAAGAGCAAUUGGCAAAAAUACAAAACGACAUGAUGGAGCAAAUGCUAGAGGUUUAGAGGAAUAUGAUGACUGAGAUGGCUCAGUUGCUGAGGGCCACUAAUAAGGGAAAAGCCCCUAUGGCAAUCACUGGUGAGGAGGAAGAGGAUAAUCCUCCAGGCUUUACUCUACCCCACGGGCCUACAGAAACCGAGGCACUUCCUAGGAGGCCGUCUGUCACUAUAAGGCCUCAACAUGGACUGGUUGAUGCUGGGAUCCACAUGAAUAACCCAACUGGUUCAGGAUUUAAUUUGGGUGACAACCCUACCGAUCCUCUCAUUCCUGACUUGGACGUGACUGAAAAGGAAGAUUUGAGAGCCAAAGCUGCAAAACAGUUGGAGGAACUUUGUUGAUGGUUGGAGGAGAAAUUUAAGGCUCUAGAGAGUGUUGAUGGGCAUCAUGGAGUUGAUGCCAAAGACUUGAGUUUGGUCCCAAACCUAGUGCUUCCCCAUAAAUUCAAAAUGCCGGAGUUUGAAAAGUACAACGGGACUACUUGGCCAGAGGCCCACAUUACGAUGUUCUGUAGGAGGAUGACCGGAUAUGUGAACAAUAAUCAACUGUUGAUUCAUUGUUUCCAAGAUAGCUUAGUGGGAGCAGCAGCCAGGUGGUACAAUCAGUUGAGCCGGGCCAGAAUAAAUUCAUGGAGGGAUCUUGCACAAGCCUUCAUACAACAGUACAAUCAUGUGACAUACAUGACGCCGGAUAGGAUCACGUUGCAAAACAUAGAGAAAAAGCCUAAUGAGAAUUUUAGGCAAUAUGCUCAAAGAUGGAGAGAGGUUGCCAUGCAAGUUCAACCACCAUUGUUGGAGAAAGAGAUCACCAUGUUGUUCAUCAACACUCUGAAGGCUCCAUUCAUUACUCACAUGAUUGGAAGCACUACCAAAAGUUUUGCGGACAUAGUCAUGGCGGGAGAGAUGAUUGAGAAUGCCAUAAAAAGUGGCAAAAUUGAGGGGGAAGCGGCCAAAAGAUCGGCCCCAAGGUGAAAAGACAAUGAGGUGAACAACACAAGUAGCUUCAACUCGAAGGCAGUCAUAGUUGGUCAACCCAAAGUAGCUGCGGUUGGGCAACAGGGUUCUCAAAGGUAGGAAUCGGGCACAAGGCACAAGAGGAUGCAAUUCACACCUAUCCCUGUGAUGUAUCGUGAGCUUUAUCAAAGCUUAUACGAUGCACAUGCUAUUGCUUCUUUCCACUUGAAACCAUUACAGCCUCCAUAUCCUAAAUGGUAUGAUGCAAAUGCCAGAUGCAAGUACCACGCUGGAAUAUCGGGGCACUCAAUUGAAAAUUGUACCGGAUUCAAGAAGGUCGUGGAGAGGUUGAUUAAAAUGGGGGUUGUGAAAUUUGAUAGUACCCCAAAUACUGAAAACCCUUUGCCAAAUCAUGACGAUUAAUGAGUGAAUGCCAUUGGCGAAGCUAGUGAGAGAAGGAUGAAGGAAAAUGUUGCUGAGGUGAGGAUGCCUAUUAAAGUGAUUUGGGAGGAGAUGAUGAAGAGAGGGAUGAUAACCUCUAGGAGAGAAAGAGAAAAAACGGGGAACUACUGUGAGUUCCAUAGAGAAGAGGGUCAUGAGACCCAAAAUUGUGAAGAAUUCAGAGCCUUGGUGCCAGGCUUUAUAGAUAAUAAAGAGCUACAAAUUUUUGAAGGUAGCUCUUAUAAAAGGGAAAUAAGUGUGCUGGAGGAUGAACAAAAAGGAACCGGCCGGCCAAGGAUUAUUAUCUCCCUGCCAGGGAAUAACGAAGUGGGGACACUAGUAGUGCCCAAGGUCAUUAUCCAUAAGCCUACUCCUUUCCCUUACAAGGAUAGCAAGAGAGUACCAUGGAGUUAUGACUGUAGUGUGACAGUGCUGGAGGAAAAAAAUAUAGCCAGCGCAUCUAAAGACGUGCAAGUUGAAGGUUUUCACACGUGGAGUGGGAAACGUUAUGUUACGGGGGGCGUCAGAGAGGAGCCCAUAAAAACAAAGAAUGCUAGUAUGGAAAAGGAAAAAGAAGCUGAAGUGCUUGUCAAUGAGCCAGUAAAGGAGGAGGAGGCUAAGGAAUUUCUAAAGUUCCUUAAGCAUAGCGAGUAUAGCGUGGUCGAGCAGUUGCGUAAGCAGCCGGCUCGCAUAUCAGUAUUGGCUCUACUUUUGAGUUCUGAAGUGUACAGGGAUACAUUAAUGAAGGUGCUCAACGAAACAUAUGUCACCCAUGACAUAUUUGUUAACAAGCUGGACCGAUUGGUAAAUAACAUAAGUGCGGAUAAUUUUAUCUACUUUAAUGACGAUGAAAUCCCACCGGGAGGCAAGGGGUCAACUAAGGCCUUGCACAUCACAACUCGAUGCAAGGGGUACACACUCCCAAGCGUGCUUGUUGAUAAUAGAUCGGCCUUGAAUGUUCUACCGUUAUCUACAUUAAAUAGAUUACCCAUUGACGAUUCUCACAUGAAAACAUGUCAAAAUGUGGUAAGAGCCUUUGACGGUACAGAAAGGAAUGUGAUGGGAAGGAUUGACAUCCCCUUGGAAAUCGGGCUGAAUAUAUAUGAAGUAGACUUUUUGGUGAUGGAUAUCAAGCCUUCCUACAAUUACUUAUUAGGAAGACCAUGGAUACACUCAGCGGGAGCGGUGCCCUCAUCGUUGCACCAGAAAUUAAAGUUAGUGACGGAUAGACGGUUAGUAACCAUCAAUGCGGAAGAGGACAUUAUAGCCGCAGUCACUAGCAAAGCCCCUUAUGUCGAGACGAACGAAGAGUCUAUUGAGUGUUCCUUUCGCUCUUUAGAAUUUGUGAAUGCGACUUUCAUUUCUGAAGGAGGCGAGCUACUGAUGCCAAUGAUAGCAAGAGCUACGAGGAUGGCUCUAUAAAUGAUGGCGGGAAAUGGAGCCUUACCAAGGAGAGGGUUAGGAAAGUACCUGUAAGGAGGGACUCAAAUCUCAGAACUUAAAGAGAAGAGAGAUCACUUUGGCCUGGGCUUCAAACCGGACUAUAAGCAAAGGAGGAAGGAAGUUGAGAAGCGCCAAGAGGGAAGAAGGGCACGCCUUAACAGAAGAGAAGUGGAGUGAGAGCCGAUGACAUUCCCUCCAAUAUCCCAAACCUUCAUAUCGAGAGGGUUACUCAUAGAAGGAAGUCGUCAGAUUAAUGCUAUAUACGACGAAAGAUUGAAGCAAGAAAACCCUGAGGGCAUUCAUCCUUAUGAACUGGGAAGCUCUCUGAACAAUUGGACUACGGAGGAACUUCUUGUAGUCUUUAGGAAUUUUUCAGAGUAAUUUUUGAAACAUUCUUGUUACUCUAAGAGCCUAGGAGUAAUAGGAUUACAUUUGUGAAAUAGGCUUACGUUCAUCUAUUAUUAUAAAACAUAUCUUUUAUCAAUUUGAACGAGUAUUGUUUCAUUUUUAUCAACCAAUAUUCCUUUAACCUUUUGCAAUUCUUAUUAUUUCAUUCAUAGCACAUAAAUAAUCAUUCUUAAAUUCAUUCAUUCUUUGUAUAUUCUUUAUACUUCACAGGUCCCUAGAUAUCAAAGACAUGAGUAUUGAUAUUACAAAUCCUGAUUUCUCUCGCGAGCAAGACAUGUGUUUAGAAGAAUCUCAGGAUUUUGAAGAUGUCCAGGAUUGUGAUGUGUCUCCAGAUCUGUUGAGAAUGGUAAGACAGGAGGAGAAACAAAUUAUGCCCUAUGAAAAAGAGGCAAUAGAGAAUGUAGCCCUUGAGGAAGGGAAUGAGGUGAAAAUUGGGACACUUAUUGCCAAGGACACAAGGCAAGGAUUGAUCGAGUUGCUACGUGAAUUCAAGGAUAUCUUCGCAUGGUCCUAUCAAGAUAUGCCAAGGUUAAAUACCGAUAUUGUGGUGCAUCGUCUUCCAAUAAGAUAGGAUUGUAAGCCAGUCCAACAGAAGUUGCGGAGAAUGAGGCCAGAUAUUAUUCUGAAAAUAAAGGACGAAGUUAAAAAGCAAUUCGAUGCGGGUUUCUUAUAAGAGAUAAAGUACUUAGAAUGGGUAGCUAACAUUGUGCCUGUUCCUAAGAAAGAUGGGAAGGUAUGAAUGUGCGUUGAUUACAAAGAUCUGAACAAAGCUAGCCCAAAGGACAAUUUUCCUUUGCCACACAUCGACACUUUAGUAGACAACACGGCAGGAUAUUCGUUGUUCUCUUUCAUGGAUAGUUUCUCGGGGUACAAUCAGAUAAAGAUGCAUCUAGAGGACAUGGAUAAAACUACCUUCACAACCUUGUGGGGUACCUUUUGCUACAAAGUGAUGCCGUUUGGGUUGAAGAAUGCGGGGGCAACAUACCAACGGGCCAUGGUGAACUUGUUCCACGACAUGAUGCAUAAGGAUAUUGAGGUGUAUGUUGAUGAUAUGAUUGCCAAGUCGCGUUCAGAAAAAGAGCACAUUGAGGUAUUGAGAAGAUUUUUCUUGAGAUUGAAAAAGUUUCAGUUGAAGCUCAAUCCAGCAAAGUGUACCUUUGGAGCUAGAUCGGGAAAGUUAUUAGGUUUCGUAGUCAGUGAAAAGGGAAUUGAAGUUGACUCAGAUAAGGUCAGAGCCAUACGAGAAUUACCUCCACCACAAACUCAGAAAGAAGUUCGAGGAUUUUUAGGAAGACUGAAUUACAUUGCUCGGUUUAUUUCACAACUAACUAAGAAGUGUGAUCCCAUCUUUCGUCUCCUUAGAAAGCACAAUCAAGGUACUUGGGAUGAAGAAUGCCAGAAUGCUUUUGAAAAGGUCAAACAGUGCUUGUUGAAUGCUCCGGUAUUAUCUCCGCCCAGUCCAGAUAGACCACUAAUACUGUACUUAUCAGUAUUCAGCAAUUCCAUGGGAUGUGUGCUUGGCCAACAUGAUGAGUCAGGAAGAAAGGAGAACGCGAUAUAUUACCUCAGUAAGAAAUUCACCGAAUGUGAAAUGAGAUACUCGCCUAUCGAAAAAUUGUGUUGCGCUCUGAUUUGGACAACUCGGAGGUUAAGACAGUACAUGCUAUAUCAUACUACUUGGCUUAUUUCAAAACUUGAUCCUUUGAAAUAUACGAUGGAGUCAACAGCGUUGAAUGGGAGAAUGGAGAGAUGACAAAUACUACUUUCAGAAUUUGACAUAGUCUAUGUGAGUCAAAAGGCUAUAAAAGGAAGCGCGAUAGCAAAAUUCCUCGCUAGCAAAGCUCUAGAAGAUUACGAGCCGUUGAGUUUUGAUUUUUCAAAUGAGGAGUUGAUGUGUGUAGCAACUAUAGAAGAUUAUCCUUGGAAGUUGAGCUUUGAUGGGGCAUCCAAUGCUGUGGGAAAUGAAAUUGGGGCAGUCCUGGAAUCCCCGAAUAGCGAUUAUUAUUUAUUCACAUGCAAGUUAGAUUUUGAUUGCACAAACAAUAUGGCCGAGUAUGAAGCAUGCAUCAUGGGACCCCGAGCAGCAAUAGCGCGGGGAAUAAGAACCUUAGAAGUAUAUGGAGACUCUGCGUUGGUAAUUUAUCAGCUUAGAGGUGAAUGGGAGACAAGGGAUCCUAAAUUGAUCAAUUAUCGAAAGAUAGUUUUGGGGUUACUUGAGGAGUUCAAUGACAUCACUUUCAAUUAUAUCCUGCGAGACGAAAACCAGAUGGAGGAUGUUCUAGCAACCUUGGCUUCAAUGAUUAGAGCUAAUAAAGAGGAGGAGAUGAGACCCAUUCAGAUGAGUAUCUUUGAGGCUCCAACUCACUGUUGUAACAUUGAGGAAGAAUAAAAGGAUGAUAACCCUUGGUAUCAGGAUAUAUUGCGAUAUGUGAGAGAUCGUAAAUACCCAGAACAAGCAAGUGAAAAUGAUAAACGAACUUAAGGAGAUUAGCUUGCAAUUAUGUUUUGGACGGGGACAUCUUGUACAAAAGAAAAAAUGACCAAAUACUGUUAAGAUGUGUUGACGCCGUGGAAGCUAAGUUAAUAUUGGAAGAAGUUCACGAGGGUGUUUGUGGGACGCACGCUAACGGUUUCACGAUGGCUAGACAAAUCAUGAGGUUUGGAUAUUAUUGGUAUACUAUGGAAAGAGAUUGUAUCAAUUAUGCUAAGAAAUUCCAUAAAUGUCAGAUUUAUGGAGACAAGAUUCAUGUACCACCUUCACCUCUACAUAUUAUGACUUCUCCAUGACAUUUUUCUAUGUGGGGCAUGGAUGUCAUCGGGCCAAUAUCACCAAAAGCUUCAAAUGGACAUCGCUUUAUUUUCGUGGUCAUUGAUUACUUCACAAAGUGGGUAGAGACUGCUUCUUAUGCGGAAAUAGAUGGGAAGAGUUUGCCCAAUCCAGUGAAUUCAGACUCAGUCAAAAAAUACUUUGUCUAAAAGAGAGAAGAAUUCAGGGUGAAAACCUGCAAAGGGCGCCUUGAGUUUCAAAAAAAAAAUAGAGAGGCCAAGGUGAAAACCCGCAAAGGGUGCCUUAUGACCAAAGGGGUUUUGAGUUGAAAACCCGAAAGGGCAGCUCAAAUUUUAAAGAGCACAUGGUAAUCUUGCUAUAUCUAAUUCAACGAAGAGUGAAGCGCGUUGCAUAUCGGGGCAUCAACAAAGUACUUUGGAUCUUUUAAACACAUGUUGAAUUCAAGAAAGGCUUCAUAGAGCUGGUGUAUAGACGUUCAAGCAGCGAUAUCUACGACAUCUAACUUUUGUCCUGUUUGCUAUCUUUAGAUUCUAUUUCUUCUCAAAGAUAGGCUUCAGAUUAAUUUCCCUUGUAUUUUUGACAAAUUCAUUCGAAUCUAAUUAUUCUCAAGAUUAAUUCAUCUUCCAUUAUUCUUAAAGUAUGUUACAUUGAAAUAGUGAUAGAUGAACUAAAUAAUUUUCACAAAUGAAGUUUUGCGCAUUACUUUGGAAAUUUCUAGAUGAUACAAGAAACUAAAACAGGACAAUUGUUCAAGAAAUUCACGUAAGUGAGGGUUGAAAGAACUUGAGGAAUUUCUUUCUUCCAGUCCGAAAUGAUGAUUGGACAAAUCAAACAAUUCGAUUUUAAGAAAAUAUCAUAUUACAGAUAUUCUCAGUGGGUCGUAGCAUUUGAAGAAUGAUACAAGGCUACAGGCUGAGCAGGAAUAAUACUUUGAGAGAAGUAAAGAUAAACGAAGGAAUGAGUGGUGACGUUUGGAAUAGAAGUUAUAUUCAUAACAUUUUGAAUCACAACAUGUCUAAUUAGGAGCAUUUGACUCACUUCGAUUAUAGCAUCCUGAUCAUCAGGCAUGAGCACAUAUACAUUCUACAGGUUAUGUAGAUCAAAGAUGAUGCACCUUAACCCCCUAAGUAGUAGGGUAACAGACCAAAGCAUAGUAGAUCUGGCCUUCACGUGUUUACACUGAAGCAGAUCCAAGAUAACAAGAUUUGGCUUCUCUAUUUUCGACGGAGAGCAAAUCGAAGACAUAGAUAUAUCUGACUUUUGGAUGUUCUCACAUCAAAGCAGAUCCAAGAUAACAGAUCUGGCAUCUCCAUAUUCAAACGGAGAGUAGAUACAUAGUAGAUCUAACCUUCAGAUGUUUUUAUUGAAGCAGAUCCAAGAUGAUUUGGCAUUCUUGUGUUUACAAGGAGAAAAUCUAAGACAUAACAGAUCUAACUUUCAGAUGUUUUCACGUCAAAGCAGAUCCAAGAUAACAGAUCUGGCGUCUCCAUAUUCGACGGAGAGCAGACACAUAGCAGAUCUAACCUUCAGAUGUUUAUACUAAAGCUGAUCCAAGAUGAUUUGGCAUUCUUGUGUUUACAAGGAACAAAUCGAAGACAUAGCAGAUUUGGCUUUCACGUGUUUAUGCUGAAGCAAAUCUAAGAUGAUUUGGCAUCUCUGUAUUGUCAGGGAACAAACCGAAAAAGCAGAUUUGGCGUCUCUGUGUUCGACGAAGAGCAGAUCAAAGAUAUCAACAUGACAGUCAUGAGUUUGCAAGGAGCAGAUUGAGGAACCAUGAUCUGAUAAGGCCGGCAAAUUUGGUCUUUCUAUAAGUCUUUGCUCUAUUCCUAUUACACAACAAUGAGCAAAGAGGGGCAGCUGUAAUAACCUAAAUUUGCCCGAGUCUUAAACAAUAAAAAAAUAAACAAAUGUUUACUAUUUUAAAUAGUCCAUAUACAGAUCCCAAAAAAUUAAUCUACCCGAGGCCCAAUUACAAUGUAAUACCCAGCAGACUCGUUACACCCAAUAACCCGCUUAACCCAGUAGCCCAUUUACAAUCAAGUACCCAAUACCCCUGAACUAGUCCAGUAAACCAAGACUUAGUAGGCCCAAUUGGCCCAACUUAUUUUCAGUUUCGGAAAACCCUAGCUAGGGUUUGCACCGCAACUCCCAAGCCGUAACACCCCCUACCCGUAUUUAUUGUAGGAAUAGGUACGAGGCAUUACCGGAGUUUGCUGAAUAUUUUCAGAUAAUUCUGAGUCAUUUAUUAUUCAUAUUUUGAAAAUAAUCAUAACGUCUCUCUAUUGGGCCCUCGAACCCCUAAACAUAUAUUAAAAACCAACCAGAAUUAAAUCGAGAUCAUAAAAAAAAUUUCGCAAAAUCUUAAAUUUUAUUUUCAUCUAAGUACUUACCAUUUCAAUACUUCUUAUAAUUAAACAUGUUACCAUUCAAUCAAUAGCUUGACACUAGUCUAAACGUCAAACAACAUCAUUGUUAGUAUACUUGCAUAUAUUUCAUAUAAAUUCAACAUUUAUAUACUUAUUUUCUCGACAUGUUAUACUUGAGUUUAAUAAUUGUCUUUACUUACAUAAUUUCCUUGUAUUAACAUAUCAAAGAUAAUCAUAUAUGUACAUGUCAUGAAACGUAUCAUUCUCUUACCAUUUCUUCAUAAGUAUAUAUCAAUCAUUUCAUUAUAUCAAUAUUUUAUGCACCAUCAUUUCCAUAUAUUUUAUGUAUAUUUAUUCCGAUAAAGUUUAUAUCAAACUUAACAUAAAUUAUAUUCCAUGUACUUAUUCUUAUUUUGUUUAUCUAUCUUCAUAAUUAUUUCAUACAAUUAUUUUGUAUAUAUAUUUCCAUAUGACCAGUUCUUGUAAACAUUUCACACAACUAUUUCAUAUAACCAUUCGUCAUCUGAUACAUAUUACCUGAAUAUCAAUUGUUCAAUAGAUGUCAUCGCGUCUCCCAUCCACGGUCUUAUUUAUCUUUGACAUGAUGCCAUAGUGUCUUUCAAUAUGAUCUUACUCAUUUUCUGUCAUGUUGCCAUGGUAUUUUUCAACCAUGGUCUUACACAUUUCAUGUCACGCUGCCAUGGUAUCUUUCAACCAUGGUCUUAUUCAUUUCCCGUCAUGUUGCCAUGGUAUCUUUCAACCAUGGUCUUAUUCAUUUCAUAUCAGGUUGCCAUGGUAUCUUUCAACCAUGGUCUUACACAUUUCAUAUCAGGUUGCCAUGGUAUCUUUCAACCAUGGUCUUACACAUUUCAUAUUAGAGAGCACACUCCCGCAAACCUCAUCCUUACAGUGGGAUUACCAGUCCAGGCUAAAUCCCCUGCAACAACAAUUACUCUAAUGAGCUUGGAUCUGAAUUACCAGUCCAGGCUAAAUUCAGACCCUAAUUUGGAUUACCCGUUCGGGCUAAAUCCAUUUACACGUAUUCUUCGGGAGGGCUAUAUCAGGAUAAGAUCACCCGUCCCGGCUAGAUCCUUUUUACCGUCAAUUCUUUUUCAGAGAUCCAUCGAAAUUUCUUUUUAUUCAACCGGGAUUUCUUCCCCUUUUUAUCAAAUAUAUCCAUGUUCCAUCAAUUUUCAUACAAUGAACAUUCAAAUUAUUUUCACAUCAAUAACAUACAUUUCAAGCAUUUAAGAAUAUAAUUCAAGUUACACGAACUUACCUCAUUGCUUGUUUGUGUUUAUAAUUUCAUUAAUUCGGUAUCUUUUCUUUUCUACGAUCAAGUCUCAUAUUUGAGUCGUCCGGAUCUUUAUAAAUAAAUUUGAUCAUCAUUUUCAUUCAUUUCAUAUUCUAAUGCAUUUAAUUAAUGCUUUAGGCAAAAUUACCAUUUUGCCCCUAAACUUUUAAUUAAUGACGAUUUCAUCCUUAGGGUCAGGGAAAAUAAAAUUCUUGCAAUUUAAUCCUUAUUUCCAACUAUUAUUCUCAUAUGUAUUGAUAACAGUUUAUGAAUUCUAUAAAAUAUCAGAAUUUUUCCAUAAUUUCAAUACUUUUCAAUUUAAUCCCUAAAACAUGUUUUCCCCUAAUCUUGAACUAAAUUAAUAAUUUCAUUCAAUUUUGUAAUUUAAAUAAUAAAAUAAUCCAUUUAAUGCAAUUUGGUCAUUUCUGAAAUUUUUACAAAAUUGCCCAUAAAUUUUUAAUUUUAUUCAAUUUAGUCCCUGAGCCUAAAAAAUACAAAUUAGCCAUGCUAGAUGAAUAUUCAUACAUAUUUUUCCUCCUCCUCCUCUCCAUUGCACAUCCUUAAUGUAGAUAACACACUUGUAAGUAACAUUAUCCAUAAUUUUUAUUAUUUACUUUUAUGAAUAUUCAAGUUGUCUAUCUGCAUCAUAGUCACUAAAUUAUUUAUAUCUGGAGCUAUAGAACUCCAAAUUAAGAUCUGCUAAUUUUCCAUGAAACUAGACUCAUAUAUUUUCUUACCAAAAAAAUUUAAGAAUUUUUAGUUUAGCCAAUAAGUACAUUUUAUUCUUUAAAGUUACCCCUGUUAUGCUGUCUGACAGUUCUGGCCCUUCCUCACUAAAAAUUAAUUAUCUCCUCGUACAGAAUUUGAAUGAUGUUUUUGUUUGUUUCUAUUGAAAAUAGACUCAUUAAGGAUUAUAAAAAUAUAAAUUUAAUCCCAUAAUUAUUUAUAUCCAAUUUUUUAUGAUUUUAUAAAUUCAGAACAGGGGAACCCAAAAUCAUUCUGACCUUGUCUCACAAAAUUCAUCAUAUCUCAUGAUUUACAAUUCCAUUGCUUACAGAAUUUCUUCUAUAAGAAACUAGACUUAAUAAUAUUUAAUUUAAUAUUUUAUUCAUCCUAUAAUUAUAUUUCUACAAUUUUUGAUGAUUUUUCAAAGUUAGACUAUUACUGUUGUCCAAAACUGUUUUAGUACAAGAUAUUAAUUACCAUGUUAUAACACCCUUAUUUUCUUUUUCUACACCAUUUCUCAUCACUUUCUCUUAUUUUCUCUUCACUAACAUAUCAAGAACAUAGGACCUUAUGUAAGAAAACUCUACUAUAACAUUAUUUCCAUGCUUUGUCAAUAAUAACAAACUUAAAAACAAAAUUGAAAUCUUGAUAUACUUACCUUGUUCUAUUGAUACUAAUCUUUAACUUGAUUUUCUCUCUCCUCCAGCUUCUAUUUCUUGAAUCCAACUUGAUAUUCUAACUCCCCAUGGUCUCCUUAACAUUUUUCUCUCUUAGUAGCUAUAGAAAUUCUUUUGAUUUCUAGGUGAAACUGGUGAAUUUUUUGUGGAAGGACCAAAUUGUAAAGAAAACAAAAUUUCUUUCUUUUCCUUCUCUUCUAACGUUGGUUGCAUGGGAAAGGAAAUGUGAUGUUAAUUCUUCAUCUUUCCUUCCUUUUAUACUAAAUAAAUAAUAAUAUAAUAAUAAUAAACAUCUCAUAAAAAUAUUAAUAAAAUAAUAUUUAUCUAAUUAAUUAAUUUAAAAUAUCAUCAACAUAAUCAUUACAUUCUAGAAUUCUCUAUCUUACUAAUUGACCAUUUUGCCUUUCAUGAUCUUUUAGAAUUCCAUCCUUGAGUCAUCACUUAAUUUGGUAAAAUUGCGAUUUAGUCCCUCAUAAUUUUUCACCUAUUCAAUUUGGUCCUAAUUCAUCAAUUUUUCUUGAUUUCUAGAUCAUUCCACCCUUAAAAUAUUUUCACCAUUAUUCCUUUAACUUUUUUAUAUUUACACUUCAACCCCUUAAAUUUUAACUAUUUACUCUUUGCAACAAGACUUUUCUCAUCUUUGCAAUUUAGUCCUUUCUGAAUUAAUAUAUCAUAAUAUACUUCCCAAUAUUGACAUAACUCAAAAAUUCCCUUUUUGUCUCUUUAUUUCCUUAUUUUACUAUAUCACGGAUAAUAUUUUACUGUAAAAAUUUUCGGGGUAUUACAAAGCCAUACCAAGUGACAGAAGAACUUGCGCCGCAAUCAGACCAAGAGUCACGCCCCUUCGGCUCGUGUCCGUUCAUCUCGCAGCGACCCAAAUCAGUGCCGUGAUUCUCGGGCUUCGAACCAUGCCGUGGUCUACGGCCGAAUCAACGCCGGUGGUCUACUUUCCUCGAUUACCUGCAAAAGAAAGAAAAAAACAACAGCAAACAAACAAAACAAAUAUGGAAAGAAAUAAAAGAUUUCUUCCCAAAAUGUAAUAGAAACAGUGGCUAUAAAAGCCUCCUUUGUAACCUGUAAGCGGAGGGAGAUUUUUAACGAGGAAUACAAAAGCCAAAUACAUACAGCUUCUUAAAGGUGAUAUACCUUUACCUUUUC
rnacentral:lncRNA from 1 species